UGGGGAAUCUUGGACAAUGGGCGCAAGCCUGAUCCAGCCAUGCCGCGUGUGUGAAGAAGGCCUUCGGGUUGUAAAGCACUUUCAGUAGGGAGGAAGGCUUUGGGCUAAUACCCUGGAGUACUUGACGUUACCUACAGAAGAAGCACCGGCUAAUUUCGUGCCAGCAGCCGCGGUAAUACGAAAGGUGCGAGCGUUAAUCGGAAUUACUGGGCGUAAAGCGCGCGUAGGCGGUGUGUUAAGUCGGAUGUGAAAGCCCAGGGCUCAACCUUGGAAUUGCAUCCGAUACUGGCACGCUAGAGUGCAGUAGAGGGAGGUGGAAUUUCCGGUGUAGCGGUGAAAUGCGUAG
rnacentral:rRNA from 1 species